rnacentral:rRNA from 1 species
AAAACUAUAGAAGAUCUUAUGUUAAAACUAGUAACAAGAAGAAGAACUUCUCUCAUUAAUGCAAGUGUAAAUCAGAUAGGACACCCCGCUGAUAAUUAACACCUAUGAACAAAAAAUAGCAACCUAACAAGAAAACCCUAUUAAAUUAUACGUUAACCUAACACUAGGGCAUUACAAGAAAGAUUAAAAGAAAAAGAAGGAACUCGGCAAACAUUAACCUCGCCUGUUUACCAAAAACAUCGCCUCUUGAAUAAAUAUAAGAGGUCCAGCCUGCCCAGUGACCAUGUUCAACGGCCGCGGUAUCCUAACCGUGCGAAGGUAGCGUAAUCACUUGUUCUUUAAAUAAGGACUAGUAUGAACGGCACCACGAAGGUUACACUGUCUCCUAUUUCUAAUCAGUGAAACUAAUCCCCCCGUGAAGAAGCGGGGAUGAGCAUAUAAGACGAGAAGACCCUAUGGAGCUUCAAACUAUAGAGCACUUGCCAUAAUAAUAACCUAAUUCCAGAAAACUACCACCACCCAGGCAAGAUGACCCUUAGUUUUAGGUUGGGGUGACCGCGGAGCAAAAAACAACCUCCACAUUGAAAAGAGACAACUCUUUAGCCAAGAGCUACAACUCUAAGCACCAACAAAAAGACAUUAAUUGACCCAAUAUUUUGAUCAACGAACCAAGUUACCCUAGGGAUAACAGCGCAAUCCACUUCAAGAGCUCCUAUCGACAAGUGGGUUUACGACCUCGAUGUUGGAUCAGGGUAUCCCGGUGGUGCAGCCGCUACCAAAGGU